GACGAACUGUGCAAACGUUAUUCGGAAUCACUGGGCUUAAAGGGUGCGUAGGCGGUCUUUUAAGUAGGGUGUGAAAGCCCCCGGCUCAACCGGGGAACUGCGCCCUAAACUAGAAGGCUUGAGUGAGGUAGGGGUGUGUGGAACUUCCAGUGGAGCGGUGAAAUGUGUUGAUAUUGGAAGGAACGCCGGUGGCGAAAGCGACACACUGGACCUUGUCCGACGCUGAGGCACGAAAGCCAGGGGAGCAAACGGG
rnacentral:rRNA from 1 species